UACGUAGGUGGCAAGCGUUGUCCGGAUUUACUGGGCGUAAAGAGCGCGCAGGCGGUCGUUCAAGUCGCGUGUGAAAGCCCCCGGCUCAACUGGGGAGGGUCACGCGAUACUGAUCGACUCGAAGGCAGGAGAGGGUAGUGGAAUUCCCGGUGUAGUGGUGAAAUGCGUAGAUAUCGGGAGGAACACCGGUGGCGAAGGCGGCGAGCUGGUCCAUUACUGACGCUGAGGCGCGACAGCGUGGGGAGCAAACAGG
rnacentral:rRNA from 1 species